GGCCCUUUCUACCCCAGUGCCUGAAUUGCCAGGGCCCCCUGCGACAGCGGUGCCUGAGUUGCCAGGGCCCUCUGUGACACCAGUGCCACAGUUGUCGCAGGAAUUGCCAGGGCUUCCAGCACCAUCCAUGGGGUUUGGAGCC
rnacentral:pre_miRNA from 1 species